rnacentral:tRNA from 1 species
CGCGGGAUAGAGCAGUUGGUAGCUCGUCGGGCUCAUAACCCGAAGGUCGCUGGUUCGAAGUCCAGCUCCCGCUAC